ACGAACGCUGGCGGCGUGCUUAACACAUGCCAGUCGAACGGAAAGGCCCUGCUUUUGUGGGGUGCCCGAGUGGCGAACGGGUGAGUAACACGUGAGUAACCUGCCCUUGACUUUGGGAUAACUUCAGGAAACCGGGGCUAAUACCGGAUAGGAGCUCCUGCUGCAUGGUGGGGGUUGGAAAGUUUCGGCGGUUGGGGAUGGACUCGCGGCUUAUCAGCUUGUUGGUGGGGUAGUGGCUUACCAAGGCUUUGACGGGUAGCCGGCCUGAGAGGGUGACCGGCCACAUUGGGACUGAGAUACGGCCCAGACUCCUACGGGAGGCAGCAGUGGGGAAUAUUGCACAAUGGGCGGAAGCCUGAUGCAGCAACGCCGCGUGCGGGAUGGCGGCCUUCGGGUUGUAAACCGCUUUCGCCUGUGACGAAGCGUGAGUGACGGUAAUGGGUAAAGAAGCACCGGCUAACUACGUG
rnacentral:rRNA from 1 species